rnacentral:rRNA from 1 species
UACAGAGGUCUCAAGCGUUGUUCGGAUUCAUUGGGCGUAAAGGGUGCGUAGGUGGCGAGGCAAGUCAGAUGUGAAAUCCCGGGGCUCAACCCCGGAACUGCAUUUGAAACUGCCUUGCUCGAGUACUGGAGAGGAGACUGGAAUUUACGGUGUAGCAGUGAAAUGCGUAGAUAUCGUAAGGAAGACCAGUGGCGAAGGCGAGUCUCUGGACAGAAUCUGACGCUGAGGCACGAAAGCUAGGGGAGCAAACGGG